rnacentral:lncRNA from 1 species
CGGGCGGAGGAGGAGGCGAGGGAGGGGCUCUGGACGCGCAGCAGCCGGCGGCCGCGGCGGGGGUGCCGGGAGGAGGGGGACGCCUGGCGCGGGGUGGCGGCGGCCCGGCCAUGCGCCGCCCUGGCCGGGGACCUCGUCAUCGCCACCGGCGACGAGCGGCGGGGUCGUGCCAUGUCGUCGUCGGCCCGCGGCGCGGCUCACCACCGAGACGGCGCCGAGGGCAGUGGCAUUGCCGCGAAUAGCGCGCGGAUGGACGGACGGGUGGGUUGAUCGCCGCGCGGGUGGGGGUAGGCGCUGGCGCGCGAGAUCUGCUACCAGUGGUGGUGGCCCGGCGAGGCGACUGGUACUCUAUAGUUGUAUAGGCCUGUGAUGAGGUGAGGAGGCUGGACGCUGGAGAACAUGGGGCACGCACGGGAAAGAGAGAGUGGGGAGGGACUGGAAAUAUUUUUCCGCCCUUUUUCUUGUUCUUUUUGCUAUGGUUUUUAGAUCGUAUGGAUUAUUGGGUUGUGGAUGUGGAAUGGUUUUGAGCUGGGUCUGACUCUGUGGGAGCAGUGCUUAUAUACACAAGACAAGAGAAGUAGCAGUAGAAUUUAAUGGUUAGGAAUUAGGAUUUUUAUUGCAAGCUGUAGCAUGAUCAUGGUACAUGAAGCGUACACGUACACCAAUUCAAAAAUUUGACCAUAAUGAUCUUGAGUUAGAAAAAUGACGGUACAAAAGGUUAAACUAUCGUGUUUGUAGUUGUACUACAAUAUUCUUGUGCAAGUAUGGAUUUGUUUCUCACAUUAGUUUUCGAUGAUUUUUCUUUCUCAGAGUAAAACAAUAGAUAUUUUUUCUCUUUUCUUUUCAGGCGUAUUUUUUCUGUCAGCCAGCAGAGUUUUUCUCAUAAUAAAUCAACUAAUAGUAUAUUCAGUGAGCCGGCGAACACCUAAAGUCCUAAACCACGCGGGUGCAUGCGUACCUUCCUAUAACUUUUUUUCGCACACAUAAAUUAGUAGUAUUAAAGUACUAAACUAGGGCCAAGUCAAUUGCUAAAGCACCUCAUCGUGUGUUUCCACAUUUAGCAGCGCUUGUGACAGUGAGAUAAAAUACUGUAGAUCGUUGCGAUUCCAGACUGUGCGGUGUCUGCACUGCAUUUGCCAGCUCGGCAGACAAUCGGAGCGUUGGGUGCAGGAGGUGCCACGCCCCACUUUGGGUAUACGUCGUGUGCCUUGUCGAAACUCGAACACGAGAGGCCGACUACGACGCCUGAACGGCACGUCGAUCGCGCACACGUGAUCGUUGGGAAAAAGCCUUUCCUUCCUGCAUGGUCCUUAAUUUCGCCUAGCUUGAGAGGCAAUAAUAAGGGUUCAGUCGUUCAGCCCCAGUGAUCUCGUCGAGUUGUGCUUCGUCGAUUGAGGAUGUGGAAUAUCUGUAGCCUCUGUCUCUCUCUCUCUCUGCAUUUGCUACCUUCUGCACGUAUUGACCUAACGUACCAAACAUCGGAGAUACCGAGCGUACGCGUACAAAACUGAUGAUGACACGGCACAUGCAUGGUCCUGUGCCGCCCGGAGCGAGUCGCGGACGUGAAGACGCUACGCUACCAAACCAACCCGAUUCCUCGGUCGGCGUCGGCGUCGGCGUCGGGGCUCCGGACCACACGCGGGCCAAGCAACGUGCCGAAAAGCAGCCGGAGACGGGGGACUUCUUCCAUCGGCUGGAUUUCGACACCUAAAGCCGCAAAUGCAUGCACCGCGCGCUGCCCGUCACGGAGUUCGUGGUGUGCCCCUUCAAUUAGCUAGCGGUAGCGGCUACCGGCCGCCAGCCCGGCUAGGGCCGGGGAAGACGCUGAGAUUGAUGAGAGCUCCUCACAUGAAAGGGAGGGGCCGCGUGGGCUUUUGCAUAGUAAAUACUACUCCGUAUACGUAUACCGACUGGUCCAGUGCCUAGUCGGUGCAGAAUAGUGCGCCGUAGCAUUGUAGGUGUAGGAUGCAUGUACUGGCCGGCCAUCCAGAUCCAGUGGUGCUAAUUUCAGGAUCAGCCGAUCAGGGAAAAGCUGUGUACGUAGGAGCUAAUGGCUAUGCAGAUGUAUAUUGAUUAACGUUCAGAGAAGCGUUGUACUCGCGUCCAUGGGUAUGAGUUGGUACUGCUACAGCAAUGGAACAGCCGGUACAUUUGAAGUACGUACUCUCCAAACUUGACGAGUUUGGCCGAACAAAAAAAAAGUUUGAAUUUUGAAUAUCUCUGCAUAACUAGCGCGCACGUACGUAUACCCUGUCAUACGCCUGCGAAAAUGAUGCGUGUCAGUUUGUGUGUGCGUGCCCCGCCUCCUAAGAGCAAGUAUUAUGGUGGGCUGUAAGCUGGCUAAAUGCUGAUGUGGAUGAGAGAAUGGAGGAGAGAGAGGAGAAGCAGGCUGUAAGCUUACAGUCAGCUUAGACACAAGAACCAAAAAAUUUUGUGAGAGAAAUAAGUGGACCAUAUAUUAAUAUUGAAUAACUAACUAUUAUAUGGGUGGACUGGGAGAAGGCUGUAAGGAACCUUACAGCCAGCAAGUGGACUGUAUUAUUAAACUUGCUCUAAAGUGUACUAGUUCAUCGUGUUCCAACCUCUAAACCCUGAUCUCUCUCUACACAGCAACAGAAAAUGGAGCUCCAAACCAAGCACCACCACUGCCUCCAUGCCGGGGGCGGCGGGCCCUGAGGAGUGAGGACACAGGGCGGGGGAACAUCCGAACGUGGCACUGGCGGCCGCCAUUUCCUCGGCUGGGUGGGGGCGGCCGGCGGCCGGCGUUUUCAUGGCGGUCUCGGGGCCGCCGCUUGGCCGCUUGUGCGUGCCUUAUUCUCAUCUCUGUACGCCUCUGGUUGGAGGAUUAUCGACACGAGCAGAGCAGAGGCAUGCAGCGACCCACAACUACAGGGUCAAGCAUCACAACUUCUGUCCGUCUGCAGGAUACAGUCAUACAUAUACACUGACGAUGUGGUGGUCAUGAGCUGGCAGCAGUUUUGUCAAUGUCCACAAAGGCCUUGUUUAGUUCCGAGAAGUAAAAAGUUUUCGGUACUGUAGUACUUUCGUUUGUUUGUGACAAAUAUUAUCCAAUCAUGGACUAACUAGGAUCUAAAAAUUCAUCUCGUGAUUUACAGCUAAACUGUAUAAUUAGUUUUUGUUUUCGUCUAUAUUUAAUGUUUCAUGCAUGUGUCACAAGAUUCGAUGUGACGGAGAAUCUUGAAAUUUUUUUGGUUUUCCGUGUGAACUAAACAAGGCCAAAGGAGUAGUGUCACAUGUUACUGUGCGAAAUGGUUCGAGUGUGAUUUCAGGAUAUGCUGCACAGACCAUGUCUGUUUGGUAGCUACCGAGAUGGUUUCAAAAAACUGUAAAAAGGCGCAUACUCCUCUGGGUUGCGUUGCGUUGUUCGCGCUGGAAUGGAACGUGAGUGCACGAAGGGUCGUCAGGAAAAGAAAAGAAGCUACUCCUGGAAAGGCCUUGUUUAGUUCCGAAAAGUAAAAAGUUUUUGGUACUAUAGUACUUUCGUUUGUCUGUGACAAAUAUUAUCCAAUCAUGAACUAACUAGGAUCAAAAGAUUCGUCUCGUGAUUUACAGCUAAACUGUGUAAUUAGUUUUUAUUUUCGUUUAUAUUUAAUGUUUCAUGCAUAUGACAUAAAAUUCGAUGUGACGAAAAAUCUUGAAAACUUUUUGGUUUUCAGGGUGAACUAAACAAGGCCAAAGCUUAUAAAGGGAAAACCCAACCCAUGCGAUGCAAUCAUAGGUGCCCACCACCCUCCAUGGCACGAUCCAAGCGUAGUAGUAGUAGUGCUAGAAUAUGAAUAGGAACACUCUCGGCAGCGUAUCGUGGAUUCGUGGUGCUCGCAAUUUGCAUCACGAGCUAGCUUGUGGUUCGGUCAAGGGGAGCAUCACGCGGCCAUGUGUCAUGUGCGGCACCCAGCCCCACAGGAUUAUAUAUAUCCGCCAUCAUUCGCUCUUGAAUAAAAAACUGCAACUGCAAGAUGGUCCUCUCGCUAUACUGAUGGUUAUCUCCUACAACUAAAAAGACUAAAGCGGGGACAUUAUUUUGGUGCGACAUUCUCUCCUCCCGCUUUCGUCCUGCCUCCUGCGAACGUCGUCCCGCACGCCCCUCGCCCGCCUCCUCCUCCACGCAGUCCUCCACGCAGAUCGCCUGCGGAUCCGGUCCCGCGUACCUCGCCCUCGCCCGCCUCCUCCCUCGCCCGCCCGGCGCGCCUUCGCCGGCGCCCGCCUCCUCCUCCACGCGGAUCCGCGCGGCGCGGACCUCGCCCGCCUCCUCCCUCGGCCCGCUUCCACACCUGCGACGCGCUUCCCUCAUCGCAACCUUCCUGCGACCAAUCUUCUCCUCCAAUCACGCAAUCUCAUCUUCCAAUCCAAUCUUGGGGUCGUCGCUCGUGGAACCUCCCAGAAGGAAAAAACGCCACACAGCGUCACGUUGAUUGCGGCGCCUGCUCCCUUCCUCGUGCGAUCUGUGGCCCUGCUCCCUUGAGCGGAGCGCACUGCAGAGCCGGUCACCGGCGAGGUGGUGCUAUGCAUCCACCCCACCCAGGAGGCGGAGCACUGCCGCUAGGAUGUCAUCGGCUACCUCAGGCGACUCCUCGGCUCCUCCCUCGGCUGCGAGGUGCGUCCGUACCCGCUGCUGUGAUCUGUCUCCCCCUAAUCCCCAUGGAAGCACCCCAGGAAGCCCCACCAGGCCCCAAUCUAGACUUCCGUUGCCUUGAUCCCCAUCCACCUCUGUGGUUUCAUCACCAGCGACACUACUCCACCUCCUCCAUCGAGGCAAGAUGGAUGCGACUGGUGGCAACACACAAUGGCACUGGAGGACCUGGUGCUCAAGGCUAGAUCCACGAAGGAGGUUGCCUUGUCGACCACAGCUAAGGCAAAGGCUGGAUCAGAUGAUGGUGUGUUGAGGACGACAAGAGAUGCCUCACUUAGAGGAGGACAUGGCAGCCAACGGCGCCGCAGGCGAGGAGUUCAACAAGGGCAAGCUUCCUCCAUGGUAAGAACACUAAUUCCAAAUGUAAUAUUGUUUCUAUUGUGAAUUUUUGAAUGAAGAGGUGCAGAAUCAUCUCUGAAUUACCUGAAGAAGUGAAGAGCAUAAACAGUGCCUUGAAACCUAUUAACAAAUUGGAAGUUGAUCUACAAGAAAUUCUAUUUAUCCACUUUAUCAGACCAUCCUCCGGUACACAGUGAAGGGGUGGAAUUAUACCUGCCUGUUUUAUUUUCCAUAAAUUAGUGUAUCUGACAUGGAUGGAUGAAUAUGUUGUUAAUUGAUUUCUCUCCUACUGUGUAAUUGUGCUCAGGCUUACUAAUCUACACAGUGUCACGAGAUAAUCAGAAGGUUGGGUCAGAAUCGCGAAGCUGCAGGCAAAAGCCAGCUGCGAAAGAAGGUGAUGGUGUGAGCAUCAGCGGUGACUUUUCCAAGUUCCUGGCAGUAAAUUUUUUUCAUUGCACAAAAAUAAUGGUGCAAGGCUGGGAAAACUUUACAAAAAUUGCACAAAAAUAAUAGUUCUCAGAUGUAUUAGCAUGUAUUAGUCUGUACAAAAAUAAUAGUUCUCAGAUGGUGCGAAGCUGCAGGCCAUUCAAUAGCUUGAGAGCUGUAAGCUCAAGCUUUCUCAGAUGGAAAAGGACAUGCAGCAACUCGCUCACAAUCUUUUUGUCAUCGGUCAUUGAACUUGUACCUUGUGAUUGAAAUUAUGUGAAAUGUUCUAGGAAGACUCUUUUCACUGAAAUUAUCUAAUUUGGUAUGUGUUUUCACUAGAAUGCAUGUGACUGAACUUAGCUUAUUUCCCUAGCUGUAAACUGAACAUCUUAUGUUUCUCCCUACUUUGUGCAUGAUGCUACCAUGGAGACUUCAUGAAGACUACUGUCAUGGCGAUUGAAUGAUCAUGGGCCUUCUUCUCAGUUACGGAUGAUGGUGAGUCUUAUUUUCAGUUACUAGAUGUUGCUGCAAGUAUGCGUUGGAUUUUGCAAAUACUUUGUAUAUUAGAAGGUCUAGCAUCUGCGGCAUGCCAUACUUUUAUCAGCAUGAAGAGUUCAGAUGCUAUACAGAUUAAUCCAGAUGGUGCCAGCACAAAAGUGGGUCAAGAACAUCAUAUAGACUUGUGCAAACCGUCUGCUUGAUGCAUUGGACAAGUUGGAUAUACCUUGGACCAAUUUCGCCGAUCUGAAUGUACAAUGACCAACGACAACAUCGUCUAUAAAAUUUUUCAUUUUACUGCUAUAGUCAUGAAUUAGAUGUUUUUUAGUUGUCUGUUAAAGCUGCCAUAGCUGUGUAGCACAAAAAUGGGAAUUAGAUGGUAAUUGCUAAACAGUUACAAGCAUGUGAUUUUUGGUUGCCACAUUGCAGGUUGUCAGCGGCUAUCAUGGAGGCUGUUGCGAGGGUCUAUGUAUGAUGUAUGGCCUCUCUCUUACAUUGACAUAUUAAGAAUUAAAAUAGGGGGCAUGAUCCUAUAGAUGGACUACGUGAUAGAUGCAAAGCCAUUGCUCAAGAAAAUGAAGAUGAAUGAAAUAGGCCUCAAAAGCGCUUGAUUCUAUAUGGCUUAUGCACUAUCUUAUGAGAAGCACAAGAGGUCCAAUGAUACAAAGAAGAUGUAUCGUUUGGGGAUCCAGAAGUAAGCUAAGCUCUUAAUACCCCCACUCUCAACCCAACCUACCCACUUCUUUUGUCUUUUUUUAACCGAAAACCACACAUCUGCUACUAGAACUAUUAUUUCUGUGCAGGCUAAUACAUGCUAAUAACAAAAAAAUCUUUGCAGGCAACAUACCCUGUUGUCGAGAAAUAGUAACCAUUCAACUUACUUUUCCUUUUUUGUAUUGCUAUUUUUUUGUUGCUUUAUUCUUGUAAGUCAUUCUUUUUCUUUUCUAUUGUGAUGGUUAUAGAGUGCAGUGGAUUGAUGCUGAAAUUUUUUGCUGCUAUGAAUCACAGGAACCGUGUUGGGUUUGUAUGAGGACAGCAGAUACAAGUUUGAAUCAGAAAAGGUGCAUCUGAAAAAGGUUUAUGUUAUUGGACUAGGUUCUGGUGCCAAGGUGGAUCUAAAACUUAAGUAUGCUAAUGAUCUUUCGCGAGUGUGUUAUUCAGAAGAGAGCUUGUUAACUAGAAGUAGACAUGAAGGUAGAACAAUUUAUUUUUUAUGCUUGAUUUGCCUAUGGACACUUUGUUAGUUUGAGUUGGAUGCUAUGUAUGUGGAAUUUGGUCAAGCAGCUUUGUACAUUGACAUUGCCUUAUGUUUUGGCUUCACUGGGGCUUGGUGGUGAAAUCAUAUGGUAUAUUUCUAUUGACCCCUGUAUGUAUUGAAGAUUAUAGCCUCUGAUUUUAAAGAUAUAUUUCUUUGGAAUAAAAUUCCUGUUCUCUAGCAAUUAUUGAUUUCACCCAAGUUCCUUACAGGUGUUGGCAUCUGAAACUGGUGGUAUAACACAAGGGAUUGGAACAUAUCAGGUGGGUGCUGACAAUAUCAACUAGAUUUUUUUUCUUUCUACUAGGUUGGUGUUGGCCAUUGAUGCUCUUGUGCACUAUUCUGUAUCCAGUCUGGCAAGCUGUUGCCACAGUUGUUCUUCACCAUGGAGACAGUCCACAUUGGAAGCAAACCAUGAUAAAGGUUCACUUUACCACUUUUUUCGUAUUCUGUAGAGGUCGAUGUUGUGACGUAUUAAGAAUUGUUAAGGCUAUCCAUGUAGAACGAGCUACACUUUGAUCAACUUUAUAGCAAGUGAUGAAUUUGAGUAGUUACUAUCGGCAGUUGGAAAAUAACAAAGAACACAGGAAUAUAUUCAUAUUUUAAGUUUUUCUUUUGCAUAAAUUGUUUGGGGAGCCUGUGACGUCUCGUUCUCUGUGACGGUUAAUUUCAUAAGCUUUGCUUUUCAGAUUAAAUGUCACUUUAAUGUCGGUAUUUAAUUUUACGUUAUUAUUAUCUUAUUGUGCGAUCCAUGUGUUUUUAUUAUAAAGUUUAAUUACCCCGUAGCAACGCACGGGCACGCUACCUAGUUAGAAAAAAAUACGGCUGAUAAGACAAAGCGUACGGGCUGUUUUCUUUAGGCCUUGCAUCAAUAGGAUUAGAGAGCAGCUAGCUCUGUUGAUGAUCAACGGGUUUACAGAUGAUGGCCGGUUAGGUACUCCCUUAGGUUGAAGGUGUUAGGGCAGUUCCAAUGACCGGUUAGAUACUCACUUACUAGUAUAUAGUUUAAGCAUAUGGAUAGUGGUUAUGCGCGCGCGCCAUUGGUAGGAAGGAAAAAAAGAAGAGGUUUUGAUGUUUCUCAUGCAUGCGCGCGUGUUGUUUUUUUUUUUUACCUUGAUUUGCUUGAUAGAUGAUGGUACUAGUACUACUGCUACUGGCCUAGUAGGACUGUAGGAGUUGUUAAUUGCAUCGUAGGCAUGAUUAACUUUAAUGCAUAAUUUAUGUCACCUAGUAUUAGUAGGACUAGCUUAGCUAAGACCUUGUUUAGUUCUAAAAAAUUUUACAAAAUAGGAAUAGUAGCACUUUUGUUUUUAUUUAACAAAUAUUGUCUAAUCAUGAACUAACUAGGCUCAAAAAUUUUCUCUCGUCAAUUCCGACCAAACUGUGCAAUUAGUUUUUAUUUUCGUCUAUAUUUAAUACUCCAUGCAUGCGUCUAAAGAUUUGAUGUGACGGGGAAUCUGAAAAAUAUUGUAAAAUUUUUUGGAACUAAACAAGGCCUAAUCUGAAAGGCAGGGCAGCUUAUGCAACUAAUGCAGAAUUUAAGUCAGUAUCAGUGUACUAGGGUAAUAGUGGCACAUCCAUAAACUCAGAGGUUAGUGCGUGAUGUUGGAUCUUUGUUAGGGUGUAGUAGGGUUAGGCCUUGUUUAGUUCGAAAAAAUUUCAGAUUUCGGCACUGUAGCACUUUUGUUUUUAUUUGACAAAUAUUAUCUAAUCAUGGACUAACUAGACUCAAAAGAUUCAUCUCGUGAUUUACAAGCAAACUGUGUUAUUAGUUUUUAUUUUCGUCUAUAUCUAAUACUUCAUGCAUAUGCUCCAAGAUUUGAUGUGACGAAGAAUCUUGAAAAUUUUUUGGUUUUUAGGAUGAACUAAACAAGGCCUUAAGCAUCUCUAUUGCUAUCUCUUCCAUGGAUGAGUUCAUUGUCAUCGUUCACCUGUAUGUUCGUUGCUGCUGCCACUUUUCAUCCGUAAAGUUCCAAUUCCACAUCAAGUAGACUCAGGCCUUGUUUAGAUAUGAAAAGAUUUUGAAUUUUAAAUAUUGUGUAAUUAUGGACUAACUAGGAUCAAAAGAUUCGUCUCGUGAUUUACAGGUAAACUGUAUAAUUUGUUUUUAUUUUCGUCUAUAUUUAAUGAUUCAUAUAUGUGCCGAAAGAUUCGAUGUGACGGGGAAUCUUGAAAACUUUUUGUUUUCGGAGUGAACUAAACAAUGCCCGCACAACAUCGGAAAGGCUGUCAAAUGACGACCUCACUAAAUUACGCACGUUUACCCAUAUCAAAUCAAACGAUCAAUUUCAGACAUAUCUUAUUUGGAAAAAAAAUCUCACCCCUUUCUCUUUUUGGCAACUACCCGCACAUGUACAGUCCGCACUUCUACAUUCAUGCGAGCUUUUUAAGAACGACUGUAGAAAAAGAGAAAUAUUUAUUUCAAAAUACUAUAACUUCUAAACGGCGUAUCUUUUUUUAAUUUCGUCUACACUGAUGUGUUCUACACGACAAGACGAACAAAACUAGACCCCACUUGCACAUGUUUCGAAGAUUUAUUUUUUCUGCUACCAAUUUAUGUAUAUUAACUUACAUCAUAUAACUUAUGCCAUGAAAAUUAUAAAAUAUAACUUAUGCGAAAAACUUAAAAUCUUAAGAGUUAUAGAACACCUUUUAUCUAUAAAAAGUCAUUAAACACAAAGGAACGAAUUAACUAACUUGUGCCAAAGCUGCAAACACAAAAGUCAUUAACAGACACAUGAAUAAACCAAAUUCUAGAAACACAAAAAUUAUGAAACACAACUUAUGUAAAGUUAGAUAUAUAAGUUAUAUUUAAAACUUAUAAGUUAUAUAACUUGAUGAAUGGUUUAGAUGUAAAGUUAAGUGUAUAAGUUAUAUUCAAAACUUAAAUGUACAAAUUAGUAUCACAACAUAUUAGUAGAAAUAUGCUAAGUUAUAUGUUAUAAGUUAUUCUUAUAAGUUAUAGCCUAUAAAUUAUAUGUUAUUCUAUAAUACACAUAAAUUACUAAUAAAAUAAAAUUCUUCGAAACAUAUGUAAGUGGGGUCUAGUUUUGUUCGUCUCGUCGCAUAAAACACAGUGAUGCAAACACAAAUAAAAAUAGAUACACUAUUUAGAAGUUAUAACAUUUUGAAAUAAAUGUUUUGCUUUUUUCAACAUGACAACAGCGAUGACGUCAACGCAGGGGAGGGAGUUAAGCUAUAUCAUUUGUUAUUGGAUGGUUCGCUGGGAAAAGAAAAGGAAGCGAGAACGGUAAAGGAAAGGAAAAGACGCCGUCGGAUCGUUCGCUGGGAAAUAAAACUCUGAACGACCGGGAAACUGGGAUAGGGGUCAAACGACCAGAUGAUGAAAACCGGCAGUGUCGAGAACUCGAGAUUUUCUCGAUUCUAUACCUUCCAAGGUCUUGUUUAGUUCCAAAAAAUUUUGCAAAAUCGAUACUGUAGCAUUUUUGUUUGUAUUUGACAAAAAUUGUCCAAUCAUGGACUAACUAGGCUCAAAAGAUUCGUCUCGUCAAUUUCGACCAAACUGUGCAAUUAGUUUUUAUUUUUAUCUAUAUUUAAUACUCCAUGCAUGCGUCUAAAGAUUCGAUGUGACGGAAAAUCUGAAAAAUUUUACAAAAUUUUUUGGGAACUAAACAAGGCCCAACUUCUUCUUCGUCCAAUCUACUACUUGGAUGAUUGUGCAGACUCACGUUUUUCUUUGAUUGAGUGAAUUUUAAUCUCUGAAUGGAAUCUGUGUACACACAGCACGAUUCUCGAAAUAAAAAAAAUGGGAGGCUGCCUCCUUUGUGCUAGCUUGUCCAUGAAUUUCAUCUUUGCAGAACGACCGCUUCUCUCUCCAUCACGCGCGAUGUUGAAAGAAAAAUUAACCUGUAGUAUUUAUUUAAAUAUGCCUCUGUACGUAAUACUGUAAGAAUUCCUAAGACGCACGUGUGGCAGGGGUGUCGUUCAUUCAACGAGAAUGCUUCGUGGGAAAAGCUGGUUAAAUUUCCGUGGCUGCUUUACUCGCCGAUUGAACGCUUCCAUCAGACGUUGACAUAUAUAUAUAUAUUAAUUGUUUCUGAAAAUGCUUGCUUCGCGAAAACGUCGUCUAUCCAAUUCAACGCAAAAAUAUAAACAUGGACAAACUCGUACCCUUCAAUGGCCAGUGUUCUAACAAGGUUCACACGACGACAGCUGCUUCUCGCCGCUUGCACAUUCUGCCACCGUACCCCUCUUCGUGUGAGGACUGAUGACUACUGCAACAUGAGGGAAGCAGCAGCACCUGAGAAGAAUGAUUAAAACGUUUCAUUUUGACUAAAAGUAAUGCUGCAACCUGAGAAGUGAGAAACCUGAGAAUGUGAGAUGCAUCCAUCGUACGCAACCGACUACAUACCGUACCAUUUUCUGCCUGCAUAUUCAGGCCUGCAUCACAUCAUCUAUCAGUUUGGUAUUGGAAUUCAGGCACAAUUCACUGUGCUGCCGCGGAGUUGCGGACGGGCUCCCGCAGCUCGCACGCAGACGCCCGCUGGUUCGGCAAUCGGCAGCUAGCAGCAGCCUCCCUCUCUGACCCAGCGAGCGUAUAUAUAUAUAUGCAUCCCGGCCACGUACGUGCACGCUCCCUGAGUGGUACACAUCAUCUAGUUUCGCACGAACAGCGUCUUGUUUCUUCAGCCAAGCAGCAGCAAGAAGCCUAAGACGACCACCAUCUCCUCGGAUGGGCAACUGCGUGUGCCACGCAUCCCGGCACGGCGGCGGCGUGCCCGGGACGGACGACGGCGAGCCGGUGUGGGCGGCAGAGCGGGGGGAGAAGACCGGCGAGGAGAGGAAGACGAAGAAGAGCGUCAAGGUGACGGUCAGGAUCAGCAAGAGCCGGCUGCAGAAGCUGAUGGCGAGUGGGGCUGCCGGCGGCGAAGGGAUGACGCUGGGGAAGGUGCUGGCGGAGAUCGUGAGCGCCGGCGAGGUGGUGGUUGACGGCCGCCACCGACGGCGGCGCUGGGAGCCCUCGCUGGAGAGCAUCCCGGAGGACAUGGAGAGUCGUGACGUAUAUAAUAGCCAUAUAUAUAGGGGAUGAAACAACGAAGGUAUACAUAUAUUGUAGUACGUGAUGCACUUUAACCACGUACCGCAUUUAGCACACCAUUAUUUUGCUCUAAAAAAAGCAUGACAUUAUUAUUACUCGAGGCGAAACGGCCUCAGAACUGCAACCGCGCCUACAACUACAAGUUUUAUCUGUCAUAAAGCACAUCUCAAUUUGGUUUGCAGCUUUGGUGACGGCUUAGCUACGGAACAACUUCAACAGAUAUGCUAUCCAUGUUAUCUAGACUAUUUUUAUAUUUUUAAAGCAAAAAUUAAAGUCCAACAUAUAUGCUAUCUGGUUUGCCAAAAUAACAAGUUUCAUUUCCUCAACUUUCGCUUGUCAUUAUAUCAUGUCGUCAUCACUAGCUAUCCUAUACAAAGGCUGUUGUGGAACUCUAUGUUUUAAGUGAAUUUUUUAUUUUACACAAAGACCAAAUUUUGUAGUUUAGAAUAUAAUUUUAUCUACUCUGUUGAAGAUGCUUUGACGCUUUUGUUUAUAUAUACAGCGCCAAGAACCGAUGAUUUAUACGUCCAUCUGUCUUUUCAUGACAAUCGAACUCAAAAACAUAUGCUCAGUGUAUAUAGAACGGAAACACGGGAAAAUAUUAAGUCCAAAACACCCCUUUGUGAAACCGUGAAACCACUCGAAAAAACAUACCUAAUCACGUUUUAAAAAACUUUCCACAAUAAAAAUAUGUAAUUCAAUUGGUAUGAAUGCAUUCAUAAUUAAAUUCAUAUUGCUUUAUUUUCGGAAGUUUUUAAAACGCAUUUAUACAUUAAUUAGAAUGUUUUGAAAAUUUCUAGAUUUUUUGGAUUUUUUUUCAUUUUUCUAGAUCUAAGUCUAAUAUUUGAAAGCUUUUAGAGAUAUUUUUAAUGAGAUCUAAAGAUCUAGAUAUUCUAUUUGGGUUUUCAUGUCUCAUUGUAUUUGUAGAAUCUUUCUUGGAAUUUUUAUAACCUUAAAGAUAUUUUUAUGGUUUAAAAACCUUAAUAGGUAUUUAUUGGAUUUUUUAUAACUAUGAAAAAUAUGAAAAUGUAUUAAAAGUUCUAACCUGGGUACAGAAACAUUUUAAACGAUUUCAAAAACUAUGGAUGUAUGAGAUGUCUAGUUUAGUUUAGAUGAGAGGGGCGGACCUAGCACCAGGUUGGUCGGUGCUCGAGUCCUCGCUAUCGGCCUACCACCACGGGAAGUACGGAGCCCCUCCUACAAGUUUGUGGUAAAUAUAGAAAAUAAAGGGGAUAUGCCCCUUCUAAGCCUGUUCGCUUGGCAGAAAAGCUAUGGAUGAAAGUAUUGUUCGCUGAUUUGUUGUAAGAGAAAAACACUGUUAAAUGAAUGACAGAUUCGUUAGAUAAGCUCAAGCAAACAGAGACAGAAAAUUUAGAUCAUGGGAAGGUAAAUGAGACCUUUUUUAUACAAUGCUGUAUUUUAGGAUAUGAUUGUAACACAAUAGUUCAAUUUUACAAGAAAAACAAUUUCAAACAUGUCUGGUCCAUAGUUGUUAUACUCAUCGUAGAAUAGUCACAGGACCUAGUGAUAACACCGAAGACAAGAAAGCCUGGUCAAUAUACCCUGCCCUUCACAUCAGAGCUAGGUCCAUAGUUGUUGUACUUACUAUAGAACAGAGUCUCAAGACCCAGUAAUAAUGCUGAUGACAAAAAACCUUGGCCACUAUACUCUAUUGUUCACUUUAGAGCUAGGUCCAUAGUUGUUGUACCCACAACAGAACAGAGUCUCAAGACUUAGUAAUGUUUUUCCCUUAAUGGCAUAUGCCCCCAUAUCUAUCACCAUUGGAUGCAAAUGGGGACUUGCGUGUAACUAGAGAGAUAAAUCUAUCUCCUACUACACACUACUGCACAUGUAUUUUCAUGUGUCCUUAAGGGUAAAUUUUCUAUGUUGACAUGAAGUCGAACUAGGGGAAGUAUAUAGGUCAAUGAAGCAUCCGAUGAUGAUGACACGAAAAUAGGCUUUUAGGGUCGUUUAAGUGUGUCUCCACAACCUUUUUGCAUACAAGUUUCUUGCUGGUAAUAUGUUGCAGAACUAGAAUAAAAAUGACAAAUCCAGAACUAGUGGAUGCCAAGUACUGUCCACCAUUAUGAUGUUAUGACACUUUGCAAUCCUAGGUGAGGAAUGAAUGCAUGCGCCACCGAUAGUCAUGCACAAUGUGAAGUGUGUCUUGAUGGGCCUCCAAAGAGACUCUAUACAUGACAAUUCUGAAUGAGCAAGAUUGAAGCGCCAAUGUUCACUCCUUAACAAAUCUAGCAGUGUUCUGGAUGGUCAGGUCAUUGUAAGAAGUCAAAAUAAUGGAGAAGAAGCGACGAAGAUAGGAAUACAAUUUUUCCUUUGUUUGGGGGGAGUCCAGCAGUUCAUCUCUUUAUAACUUGAUCAAAUUUGAAAUUUCCCAGUGAAACUAUAUGAACUUAGGGGGUCAUGCCCCCCUCUGUCAUCCCCGUUCCCCCUCCCCCUCGUGGGCCACAAGGAAGACGAUGACCAAUAAGAGGAGGAGUUUGUAUCGUGCCUGACCUCUAGCUAAAAUGAACUUUCUAUACGAACUCUAACUAUACAAAUAUAUGAGCAAUAUAUUUGAGGUUCCCAACUAAAACAAACUCUAGAUAGGGCAAAAAAAUGGUUAAGAGUAUUCUACCCCAAAAUGACGUCUCCAACUGAAACGAACUUAAGCUAGGGCAAAAAUGGUCGAAAAUAUUCUAACCAAAAUUAUCAACUGACAUGACUUGCUGGUCAUGCAUUUGAGCAUUUCUCCCACUCACUAAUUGAAGCAAAGAAAAGCCAUGCAUUUCUUUCAUUUUAUAGCAUAUCUAUACCUAUCUAUAAAGAGAGAAAAUUUCAGUCUGCCUACCAUAUUCUUCGUUAGCGAGGCAAGGCGCACACGGACUUGACCCGGUUUGCGUCGCCGUCGCCCGCACCACACCGCACGCGGGGGCAGGAGGGAGACGCGGCCGUUGCUUUUGUCGCAUCCUUCCCAGGAUCGGCGGGCGCCGGGCGAGGGCGAAGGAAAGGAUCUGGACGGCGUUGGCUACACGUUGGCCGGCCGGCUUGUCGUGCGGACGGCACGGGCGCUCCGGGGCAGCUGCUUUCCCCCGGCCGUCCACGCGAACCCGUGCUAGCUGGAGAUUUGUCGGCCACCACUCUUAGCCACUGACUCGACGCUCGUCGACUGUCCGUCAACGGCUCGUCAAAGAUUUCCGCCAGAGCUGCGCCACCGGCGAGGACUCGGGCUCCAGCGAGAGCGACGUGGAGGAGCACGUCGAGGUGGAGCUCCGCCUCCUGCUCGACCUCCACGCCGCCACCGCUCCCGUUCGUCACUGUCGCAUCCAUGGACGCGCCGCCCCAGGGCUACCGCACCAACAUCGGCAUCUGCCUCGCCGACCCAUCCCUCACCAAAGCAAGCACGCCCCCUCCCUCCCUUGAGCCCGAUCCUGCUCCUCCCCGGUCUUCGCCGCGCCUGCGCUGGAUAUUGUAUUGUCGGGUUCGUUCUGAUGGUUAAUGAAGUGAUUCUGCUUUCUUUCUCUCUAGAUUUUCUCGGAUUCUAGGCUCGACACUCCUAGCACGUGGCAGAUGCCUCAGUUGAUUUCGGAGAUCCGUUGUACUCCCUCCGUCCCAAAAAAAAGUGACGUUUUUUACUUUUAGAAAUCGUGUUUGACCGUUCAUCUUAUUAACAAAUUUUAUGUAAAUUAUAAAAUAAAUAAAUUAUUAGUAAAGUAUUUCUAAUGAUAAAAUAUGUCUUAACAAAAUAUAUAAUAUUUAUGUAAAAAUUUUAAAUAAGACGGAUGAUCAAAAAAGAUGUCUGAAAUUUUAAAACGACACUCUUUUUAGGACGGAGGGAGUAGUUCUUAACUCGCUAAUUUAAACAUAGCCUAAGUCAUAUGUAUAAUCCCGAAAUAAUGAUAGUUGAGUGAAUGUAUGCAUCUGUGCAGGCUCCUAACUGGUUAACAUAUGAUUUCCCACCGGAUGUGAGAGACAAGCUGAAUGCUAGGUGGGGAACCGAUUGGAAAGGCCAAGCUCAAAAAUGGUAAGCUCACUAAAUUUCUUCAGCUUAGAAUUCUAUGAAAUAACCUCAUUUCAUUUCAUCCCUUUGUCUGACUGGAAUUUCAACCUGCAAAAUAAUCCUAGAUGCCAGACAUGGAUAUAUAGCUACCACAACAUCCUCAUAGUAUUUUUCUAGAGAUAUAGAUAUAGAUUUAAUAACUUUUUUUCUCUCGUUGCAACGCACGGGCAUUUUUGCUAGUAUAACCCUUACUACAGAAACAAUAACCUUGUCUAUGAGAAUUAUGAAAAGCACUAAGCUCCUUUUCUUAACUUGUCCAUCAUCAUCUGCAUUAGUUAUUUUAAUGUAAAUCAAAUUGCCCCAACAAGCUACAAAGAAACUAAAGUUUCUAGAUCGUCAUUUACUCCUAACCUUCCAGAAUCAAUUGGGGUGGUGCUUCCUAAUAUUAACCACAUGGCAACAAGUUUAUGUCCUAUAAAAACCCGUGGUAGUAGAAGGUGUCAAACGCUUUGUAUUUGUGAUUUGAAAAGUUUAAGAUAUAAAUGUAAAGUUACUUCCACUGAAAAUAUUUUGAAUUGAUUUCAUAGGUUUCUUAAAUAUCUUGAUUUUAUCUAAAUGGUUUGAUAUGUCAACCUGACUAGAGCAACAAACGUUUCCAAAAAGUCACAAACUGGUACCAUGAAGCGUUUUUUUCCUCCUAAACGAGUCAGUUGCAGCUAAAGUAAAAAACUAUGAAAUGGCUGGCAGCUAAUUGUUGUGCCCGUCACUAGCUGGUUCCUGCACCGGUGACGGUGACGCUAGGAAAUUGCAAUGCACGCUGCACUCUAGCAGCUUACGAGGACAGCGCAACGCUCGCCGAGUCAGUGGGUGAGCCAGCCAUACGAUUUGUUUUCCCCUGAACUGAAAGCCAUCAUCCUUGUUGCUGUGCAGGGGGGCAAAAAAAAAAAAAAAAAAAACGGCGGCAAAAAUGGAAAGUGGCGUACGGAAGGCAGGCAGAUCGGAUUCGGGAGAAAACGGAAUGUUUUGCCACAACAAUCGCUGGGGCAGAGGAGGAGCUUAUCUUGUGUUCGCUUGUCAGUGAAAUCUGUCAGUCGGCUAACGGGGAUCAGCCCCAUUUCAUUAUGGUCUUGUUUAGUUCCCAAAAAGCAAAAUUUUUCAGAUUAAAUGUAUGCAUAGAGUAUUAAAUAUAGACGAAAAUAAAAACUAAUUACACAUUUUGGUCGCAAUUGACGAGAUAAAUCUUUUGAACCUAGUUAGUCUAUGAUUGGACAAUAUUUAUCAAAUAUAAACGAAAUUGGUAUUAUUCAUAUUUUGCAAAAAUUUUUCUUUUUCUUCGGAAAAACGAAAACUGCGGUGCCACCUCCACUCCUCCACGGCUCCACCGCCCCGUACACCCAGAGGGCGGGCACCUCGUCUCGCUUGUUGGCCGCGUGGUACGGCACGAGCGCUGGGGCCCCAUGCUCGUCGUUUGGUCGUGGAAGAACUCCGCCUUGCAACGCCGCGCCGUUGCUGGGUGGGGACUGGGGACGCGCUGGUCGCCGGGGAUGGCUGCGGCUUCGGCGCUUAACGGUAUCGGGAUCUUCCUUCUUUGCUGUUGCCGACUAGGAGUGCUCAGAUUUGAUACGCUGUAGGGCCAGUGCUGCUGCAAAAUUGCUGUUUGGGGGUGUAUUGAACUGAUUCGAUUAGUAUCGAGCCGUCGUUACCUCUUAGCUGUGAUUUCAUCUUGCUUCGUUACUGUACUUGCUGUGCGAACUUUUACGGAUCCAGUUUAGCUUUUUAGUAUUUCUUUUGAAAUUAGCAACUUAAUCUGCUUGGUGGUUCUUAUUUGUUUGCUUGUUAGUGAGCCAAUAUCUAAUUUUAGGUCUGGGUCAGCAACGACUUGGGAGUCGAUAUUGGAUAAACGGGAAUCAAGCUCUCUAAGACAUCUAAUCUUGCUGAUUCAUAGGGGCUCUACUGAUUCAUAUAUUGACCCAGUGGCGAUGUUUCGGCUUGCUGGACAUUUGGAAUCAUCUAGUGCCACUGAUUUGUGACAAGGUCUUGUUAAUGACCUUCUCAUGCCUAUAUUUUCUUGAGUUGAAUCAGCAACCUUUUUGGUGAAGCUUCUCACUGGCAUUUUUUUUUCACGUCGUUGAUGUUUAACAAAGUUGCCUUAAAAUAGGACAUUCCACAAAUUUCUUGAAUCAAGAUGAUGCUGUUAAUUAUUCUUGAUGGAUAUCAUGAUGAUGUGGUUAUCAUUGAAAAGAACCCGAUCAGGAUUUUAGCAAAACCAUUUCAGCUACAAACUUCAUUGGCAAGAAAGGCGAUCACUAUUCUUUGAACUUUGGAGUAGUCACUGCCGCCGUAGUAUUGUUUACAAGUAAGUUUCCUUGCUUUUCAGUUUUUAGGCAUACAAAAUGUCAUUCCUUCGACUCCUCAGCAAUUGAAGACCAUUUUGAUUUCUCUCACUGAAGACUUCAGUUAACUAUAAUAUUAUGAUGGACUUGCCUCUCCUUGCUACGCAUACAAGGUUCUGAGUAACCCUAAUAUAUUAUUGUUUAGAUUGUAAUAAGCAAGCAAUGUACUUUAAAUAUGUGUAUUUUGCGCUUGACAAGGAGUCAGUAACACUCACACUAACGAGAUUUGCUACCAAAUAAUUAACACUAAUGUUUAGCUUAGCCUGUUGGUGGUAGCAAUUGUGCAACAGUUGUGGUAUUGUUGUGCCAUGAGUAUCCUAUGUUAAUGAGAGGAGUAACAUGUGUUCCAACUCAUGUAACAGGUUCUCCGCGAUUUUGAUUCUGAUCAAGUAAAGAAUGCCUUGUAGAUAUAAAUAGCACUCAGGAUUCCUUAAGCAUUUUUUAAUGUAGGAAGGCUAACAAUUACAGCUACUAUUGCUUCAGAUCCAUUAUUAGGAAUAGAAGUGUCGCGUUACAAGGACUAUUUUCAUCGGAAAGUGUAAAUUUAUUAUUAGCAAAAUGCGAGAUGCAGUAUAAAUUUGAAUGUUAUGGUUUGUUUACUGAUUUUCUUACAUUAUUUUAUCAAAUGCAACCUUUUGAUAUGAAAAUCCUAAAUUCUAUCUAUGAUGAUCUCUGGACAACUGAAAAAAAAUUGUAGCCAUGAACUACCAUGAAGCAUAGGCUCAACUCUAGAACCAGGAUAUAUCUUCUGAUGUUGAAAAAUUGAUUAUGCCUAGCCUAACAAAAUUGCACACGCUAGUUUCAUUCAAGAAAAUGAGCUGCUGUUACAUCCUGCCUAUAUAUGACAUACAUCAGUUUCAAGAAUGUUGAAAAAUUGAUUACACCUAAGUACCUAACCAAACCACAUGGACCUGUUUCAUUCAAGAAGACAAUCUGUUGUUACAUCCUGCCUAUAUGUGACAUUACAACAAAAAAUGUAUUGUGUAGAUACUCCCUCCAUCCGGUUCCUCUCUACACAACUCUGGCUUGAUUUAUCAUCUCUUAAUUCCAGAAGCCAUUUCAGCUAUCUUCUUCAUUUUUUCUCUCAGGGCUAUCUUCUUCACUUUUUCUCUCAUGGCUAUCUUCUUCAUUUUUUCUCUCAUGGCUAUCUUCUUCAUUUUGCUGUAAUUGUUCUUUACCUCCUUCAGUUUCGUUUUGAUUAGUUUCUAUGUCUAUGUUUGGAACUGUUAUGGGCAGAGGAUCUUUGAUGUCAUCUGGAGGAUCAUAGUUUGGAUCAGCAAGAAAUGUAAGGGCGGUCACAACAUCACUGAUCAGUGGCCGACUGCUUGCUUCUUCUUGUAAGCACAUUGAUGAGAUUGCAAGUGCCUGGUAUAGACCUUUCAGAGGAAACUUCCUGUCAAGCAAUGGGUCGGCCAUCUUCACAAACUUCCUCUUAUCCCUGAAGAAUGGUGCUGCCUGCAGAUAACUAAUACUUAGUAGAGCAGCAUGCAAUUCUAACUGUAUGGAUUUCUGAUUUUUUUUAAUUGUUUACAGUCUGAAUAUGUUUCCUAAUAAAGAGGUUUCAACACUGGAUAUUUCUUAGUGAAAAGUGAAGCUAGGUGUAAAGCUCACCCAAUGAACAAGAAUCUGCUCGCGAGUUGGUUUUGUGGUGUCGAUUGCUCGCCUCCCAGUGAUGAGCUCUAACAGAACUACGCCAAAGCUAUAGAUGUCAGAUGUCUUUGUUAGCUUGCCAGUCAUGGCAUACUCAGGAGCACAAUAGCCAUAUGUGCCCAUCACCCUUGUGCUGACAUGGGUUUUGUCACCGCUUGGACCAAGCUUUGCCAGACCAAAGUCUGAUAACUUUGCAUUGAAGCUUCCAUCCAAGAGAAUGUUGGAUGCCUUGAGAUCACGGUAGAUCACUGGCGGGUUGGCUACCUCAUGCAAGUACUCAAUGCCUUUAGCUGCACCAACUGCAAUCUUCAUCCGUGUGUGCCAGGAUAGUGGCUGAGAAUUUGGAGUGAGAUCUAUACAGUUCAGUGAACAAACAGGUACAAAUUACAAUUCAUGAACACACAUUUAUAUGUAUAUAUUUUUUUUAAAAAAAAAUUGAUUGAGAGUUUGUAUUACCGAGGAGAUGAUCUUGCAAUGAACCAAGUGGCAUGUACUCAUACACUAGUAUCCUCUGGUCACAAUCGGUGCUGUAUCCAACCAAGGUAACUAGGUUGGGAUGAUGCAGUAGGCUAAGCAUCAGCACCUCGACGAGGAACUCACGGUUUCCUUGCAACCCAUCUUUGUCAAGCUGCUUAACUGCUAUGACCUAGACAUGGGCAUAUUUAACAUAGACAAGUUAUGGUUAUAUUCACAAGUGUUUCUUCAUGUCUUAGUUUAAUGGAACGUAGAACGGUGAAUUUGGAGAAGAAACACUUAUUUACUUCCAUAGUGUCUGGAAUGCAUCCUUUGUACACCCUUCCAAAGCCGCCUUCACCCAGCAUGUUUUCUGGGCUGAAAGAAUCAGUGGCAUCGACCAGUUCACGGAAUGUAAACACCCUACUAGGAAUGUUAUGGUUGCCGAUCCGUAGUAUCUCCCCUGCCGCUGCCCUGUCCUUGUGACUGUCUGCACAAAAAAGCUGUUGAGAGUCUGAAAAAUGUCCUUUGUCAUGGAGUAUACCCUUGUUGAUGAUCUGUUUUCAUCAUACUAGUCACAAUCUUUUUUCCUGGGAACCACGAAUUUUAGGGUGAAAUUAAGUUCAAUAAUAAGGCAAUGAGCAAACAGACUUUCAUGGCCAUGCUAAUUGGUAUUUAUAUAUUUUUCUGAACAAUUUUCUAACCUUUUUAGCAAUGAUUGAGACAUGCAUGAUGGAACUUUUGUUGUAUGAUAUCCGUAACUUCUCAAACAUUUCCAACCCAAUGCUUAAAUGCUAUUAUCAUGCAUUGAUUUUUCUUCUGCAACUUAUGUGUUUCAAUAAUUGGUGGAAAAUAUAUCAGCUCAACUUUUGUGAAGAAAUGGUUUAAAAGACUAUAGUUAUCAGCUUACUAUCAUCUUAUACCUUUUAUAUAUGUGCAUGCAGAGUGAAAAUUCCCUGGGGAAGAAAAAAUGAAGGCUGGAUUCUUACUUGAGAGCGAAAUUUCCUUGACUAGGGUUGCUAACCCGUUCUGUUCAUUCUUCCUCUUCUUUUUCCUCCAUAUCUUCUUUGUCCACUUGCACUUUUCUUGCUCGGGGAUCAUCGCCGUAUUCUUCCUCUUCUUCUUUGCCUCCAAUGUCAACGGUUCCUCUGCUUCUCGCUCAGCCCCACCACAAAAGCCCCUCUUCUUUUUCAUCUUCGUCUCCGAUGCCUCUUGUGUGGCCUUGCUCGUUCUCCUGCCGCAGACAGAGCGGAUCCACGAGCAGCAGCACGCACAUCUGAGUAGGUUGCAGCUCAGGAUGUUCUUGCAACAACAUCUGUUAGCGGAGCUCAACAGCCCCAUGGAAUUUCCGGAUCGACGCGAGAGUGGGCGAGCACCCUCGUGCCGAUCCCUGCAUGCAAACGAAGAACAGCAAGAGGCCUCAAAGGUAAUAUUCCCUUUCUCUCUUUAAUUUUUCUCGCACUUGGUUUCUUGCCACGCGCUCCUUUCUCUGUGGAUGGUAAAAUUUUGGAAUGAGACAGCUUCUCUUUUUCCUUGGAUGAACGUUCUCUGGCCAAGAAGCCAUUUUUAGUCCACUCGUUUUUGCUCUUAUUAAUCGCUGUUGGUUUUAGUAAUUGUCUUACCACACCCUGAUCUUUCGCAUGAGAAGUAGGAGUCUGUUUUCACCCAUUGGCUGGAGAUGUGCUCAGCUGCUCAGGGUUAUAAUCAUGCAUGGUGCAUAUGGGUGUUAUGCUUCAGUUAGGAAGAAGCGUUGGAUGAAACCAUUGUCAACUAUGGUUGGAUAGAAAAUUCGUUCAGAGUACGUAACAUGUAGAUAUUUAAAUGUUCAAAAAAAAAACCCGUAACAUGUAGAUAUCGCUAUUGUCUGUGACAACAUUUCAUGGUUCAUUACUUCUAGAAAUUCAGUUGCAUGUAAAAUGUCGCAUAUCACUUCUAUUAUCAGACCAGCAUGCAUGCCCAUGCACUCUAGUACUAUUACUCUACUCAAUUUCUAGUUGAGUGCACCUAGUAGUGAUCGGAGGCUUGGGGUUUGAUCCAGCACAUAACUGCACAUAUGUGCUGCCGCGCCUUGAUCGCUCGUGAGCUGUCUGCUACUUGGUGCUGGCAAGAGGAGGAAAGCCGAUGCACCCCUUCCGUGGCUUAUGCUACCUACUAUAGGGAUUCGCUGCUCUGCUGUCACUCUGGGGUCUGGCUGCGGUGCCCUCUUGCCAGCUGCUGCCCUGUCUCUCCAUGGUACCCUCCCUGCUGUUGACACUUGACACUCUCUGCUCACUUCGCCAUUUCUGUGGGGUACUGAUAUGCUGAUAAGGCUCAGUUCUGUUUGUAGGCAGCAAUGCCAGGUUGGGGUGGUCUUAUGGCCUUUUGUUGGGACCCAGUGAAGGUUUGAAGUUUGAGCCACGGUUAGAGGAAACAUGAGGACGAACAAGACGGCUAAUGGAAGUACAAAAUGUGAAGUGCUCGGGGUGUCAAAAGCUGCCACAGUUUGGAGCAUCCAUAAGUAGUUGUUUCGGAAGUUUUCAUAGAGCUAUAUAUACAAAGUCGACUCUGGUAAUGAAGUUGCAUGUUAUGUUGGGCUUGGGCCGCGUCUUUCAGCGCCGCAAGCGGAGCUGUGGCUGAGGAGGCCCAACUGGCGACGCGCAUGGCUGCAUGGUGACCGCGCCCAGAGCGGCUUUUGUUCCUCAAUGUCUAGAAUCUCAGAUUUCCAUUUGUUAGUCAAUUGAGUUUGUUAGUCAGUUAGAGAAUUGUGGAAGAGUCGGCUAUAUAGCCAAAACAUUUGAUUAAUAAAUGAUCAGCUGGAGAUUGAUACCAAUCUCUCCCGCUCUCUUGAGUCCUAGCCACUCGUCCUCUGUGUUCGACACCGCUGAGUAUAAACCCCAGCCACCUAUCAUCUAUAGCUACAACCUCCGGGGCAGUAGCAGCAAUCCCAACAUUACACUUUCUGAUAACAAAACUAAUUAUGAUUCAUGGAUUUUUUUUUUUCUAAGAGGUUUGAGUGGAAAAAAAAACUUCUAAGCACAGGGAUUUUAGCAUGGUGUGUGGAUAUAGUUUCAGUUUAAUUAGUCUUGUAUCCACAUGGGCACUGGAGCCUUCUAGGCUUUUUUUUUACUAUGCAUACGCUAUACUAAAACAAUGUUUUAUCUAAUAAUGUAACUUUUAUUUUUUAGAUAAAUAAUCUUAUCUAGAUCUUGUGAGCGGACAUUAAUAUAUUAUAUUUCUUUCUUGAUAAGUGAUGCCUGAUUAACCUAAGCAAGAGUGAUAUAAGACAGAGUCUAGAUAAUCUUAUCUAGAUCUUGUGAGUGGACAUGAAUAUAUUACAUUAUAUUUCUUUCUUGAUAAGUGAUGCCUGAUACUAUUAGUUGUGCAGGUUUUGAAACUUGUUUUCAUUUCCUAGUUAUUUCUGACUCAGUAUUAGUAGGGGUGCAGAUUCCCUUUGAGACUAGCACAUUAUCAAACUUAUCAAAGAAAUGUUGUCGAAUGGCAUAGCUUUUCCCUUUGGAUCCUGAUAAUCAUUUACUUGGUGAGUCAAUACAAACUUGGUGAAGAAUUGAGGAAUGACCGAUACAAGGUAUAAAAUGGAUAUUAGAAUUCCAUGAUGAAUAAAAAUAUCUGCUUGCUUAAUUGCCCUGGAAGUACUUAUUGAUACUUUUUUCACUCUUCUUAAUAAUUUGUAUAAAUACAUCUCAGUACUCCAGUUUGAAUCGUCUGAUAUGCAGAAUUUAUUUUGAUUUUCUCGGUGCAGGCUAUCAAUUUAACUGGAACAAACAGUAUGAUUCCCAUGGGACUCAUUUGAACUAUUUCUGAACCCUUUUUAUUACACGAACCGUGCCAGUGCUAUCUGGCAACAUCCCCUUAUUUAUGUUUCAUAAAAAAAACAUCCCCUUAUUUAUUCCUCAGAGUUAGUACAUUAUUCAGGUUCAGGAUUUGGACGCGCACAUGCGUCUUGCACGGCGCGCCGACUCACUCUUACCCUAGUAGUACUGGUCGCCGCCGGAGAAGACGCUGCACUCCUGGGGCUCCGACAGCCGGCACAUCAUCGGCAUCCCUGCGGCGUACUGCCUGGCCUUUGUAAGCUUCACGCGGGCGAUUUUUUGCCCGGUGCCGGGACGACACGGUGGGUACAUCUGCUGCUGGCCACUCUCACCGUAGCCGUAUCCCUCUCCUGCCUGGCUGCAGGGGUAGUCGUAGCCCGGCUGCGGCUGCUGCCCCCACCAGCCUUUCUCCAGCGGCGGCAUGGUCUCCUCGUAGCCCCUGACCAUGCUCCGGAUGGCGGCGCAGCGGCACUCGCGGCUCACGUCCUGGAGCUGCUGGCAGCACCGCAUCCGGAGCCCGGUGCCCCACCGGAACGGGCCGAUGCCGUAGCGCAUGCCGCCGGUGAGCUGCCGGUCGAGCACCUGCCGGCACGCGCCGAGCGGGUUCUCCUGGACCUCUUGCCAGCACUGCAGGUCCUUGAGCCUCUGCCGCUCGACCACGCCUUGGCCGACGGCCACGGCCACCAGGGCCGCGAGGCACAGCGCCGCCGUGGCGGCGACGGCAGCGAUCUUAGCCAUCUGAUCAGCACGGAUCACUAACAAAUCUUUGUCGCUAGUUGUUUGAUCUGCUAGCUAAUUGUUGUGUUCUUUGGUGGUGAUCGAUGAGGUGGUAGUGAGGCGGGGUUGGGUUUUUAUAUAUAUAGGAGAAAAGGCAGUUGAGGUGGAAAAACACACACUGUCAGUUGAAAAGGUUGAUGCAUGCAGGAGGGAAAUAUGAUGAUGAUUUGGAGCUUUGUAAAACAGAUUUUUGGAAAGUUUUGUAAAGUCACUGUUUGUGUGGGUAAGGUAACACUUCACGUUAACCCUCACAUGCAUGGAUGCAUCUGUGAUGACAAAGUGUGCUAGUGCGCUUGUUUUCGUGUGGUUCAUGGACGUAUCUACAACUACAUGGCUAUAUCUUGUGUGGAAGUUCUUGUAGUUUUUUUUUUCAGGAAAAUAUAUAAUGCUGCAUAAGGCAUUAUAUAGGCGUGCUACGAACAUCGAGUGAUGAGAUGAUUUAGAUGUCCAGUUCGUCGCAUUCUCUUUGCAGGAGGAUGACCGAGUUAGUGAGAUUUAUGACCAUCUCACUUCAUAGGGAAAAAAAAAUAUAGGAGCAACAGCACCCCAUCAUCAAGCUAUUUCUCUAGAGUUGAAACAAAGGUUGAUAGGUAAUAAUUUUGUGUUGUAAUUGAGUGAGAGAAUAAUGGUAUUGGUUACAGAGUCUCAUUUUUUUCCUUUUUCUUUACUUACAAUGACUGCACAUCUCGGUAUAUCGUAGAGAAUGGAACUUUAUUAAACUUUCUUCUUAGGGGGAAAAGAAAUAGAUCGAUGGUCUUCAGUUCUUGUACGGAUCGAUCUAAGCGUAGCUUUAGGUGGAGUGCGUAGCUGAUCUUUUAACAUUUACUAGUAUUUGAGCCCAAGAUGUGUCCACCUCAGCCUAGCUGAUUUGAUUUGGGCCCCUAAAUUAAACAGCAUUUAACCCCAAAAUGUUGUCAUCACCCUCUCAAAUUUAUCGAACUGCUACUACAGGGCUUCCCUUACCCCCACAGUCCCCCUUAUGCUCACUCUCUUUGGCCCAACUUGACAUCAUUUCAAACUAAAUGACACAUUCAAAAUUAUAAAUAAAUAAACACCAUAUUGCUUCUGAAAAAAACUACAGUUUGCUAAAAAUGAUUCUUUGGUGAAUGUGCAACCAUUGCAAGUGCUAAAGUUCCUUUACCCCACAGUAACCCUUAUGCUCACUCUCUUAGGCUCAACUCGUCAUCAUUUCAAACUAAAUGACACGUUCAAAAUUAUAAAUAAAUAAAUAAAUAAAUAAAUAAACACCAUAUUGCUUCUUAAAAAAACAGUUUGCUAAAAAUGAUUAUUUGGUUUUGAAACUUGGUCCUUGCGCAAAUUGUAGCUCAAACAGAUGGGUGUAUCAUGCUAUAUAUAUCCCUCAUUCCUCCAAAAGUGUGAUGCUACUCCUCUGUCUCAAAAUAUAAAGCAUGCAUGUAUUUCAAAAAUCAAAUUUUGUUAUCUUUAACCAACUAGUUGUUUAAUCAUACAAAAAGUUGAUAGUACGAAAGCGGUAUCAUUAGGUUUGUGUUUAUAAAUACUUUCUAAUAAUAAUGCUUUUGUUGUCAUAAUUAUAUACUAUAAGAGAAAUUAACCGAUUUUUUCUUGAAUAUGUAAGAACAUUGCAUAUCAUUGUACUAAGAAGAUAGAAGUUUUAAAAUCAAGAGAGAUCGUUCCCAGCCAGUAGUUUCCUAGCUGAUUUAGGCCUUUAAAUUUGUGUCCACCCGAGCCGGGCCUAAUGUUGUCAUCAUCCUCUCAAAUUCAUUGAAUCUCUCCGCCAGCGGGGAUGCCUCCUCCCCGUCGGCUCCUGCCUAGCGCUCAACGAUGCUUGUCAUAAAAAAAAAUCCUUUGUUGGGUGAAACAAUCACACAAAUAUUUGAAUAUAGGUGUAAAAUUGUAUUCAUUUUACGGUUUUACUGUACAUGUCAAAGAGGUAUUUAUAGAGGUCAUAGCCCUCAUAAGUCGUAUACAAAUGACCAUUUUACCCCUCUUUAUAAUCAAUACAACCCCUUUAAAUUACAGGGGUGAAGGUGUCCUUUCAUCUUCCAGAGUUCAUUCUUCAUUAUCUUUUGUCAAUCUUAGAAGUCACUUUCUUCAAAGGUGUCUUCGCGCACCUGAACUUGAAUGUUUUAUCAUGAAUCUUCUAGACUUCAUAAGUCGAGCGAACUCUUCGAUCAUUCUUCACAUUACCUAGGCAAACUUGUUUGGCUUCAAGCAAAGUCCAUGGUCUUUUUACUUGUUCUGAGCGAAGUCAUUUUUUCCUCAUUUGCUUUAAGGUUAUGAAAGCAAACUUUUGUACAGAGGUUAGAUGUUCAACUCCAAAGUUUUAGGGCUGCAUUUUUUUAUCGAAGUCAAAUCCCAACAUCGUCUGCCCCUCCUUUCUCUUUACCAGAUUUGAGAAAUUAAUACUUUAAUAGAUGCGAUGUCUUCUUGUAAAUGACCACGAUUUUGUAAUGGUACCUUUGCAAAUGUUAGUGUGUUAUCAGUGUGAAAUUGUCAAUUUCAUUGAAGUUGGAUGUCCAUAGCGAUUUGCCAAACAAAAAAUAAUAUUUGGUUUUGAAUUGUUCUUGCCUAUCUCUUUCCUCAUGUCUAAUAGCUUUAGCUAUGCAUCUAGAUAUAUAUUAUAUCGAUAUAUAAUAAAAUUUAUGUAUAUCUAUAAAAGCAUAACAAUUUUGAAUUUGGAACAGAAUGAGUAAUAGGUAGAUAGAGAAAAGAAGAGAUAGAGACUAGCAUGUCUUGACGGCUUUGUGAGGAAUCGACUGAUUUUAGAACUCUGGUAUGGCACUGAUAGACAAAUCCGGCGUAUUUUCAGUUGAUUUAUGUUGUAGUAAAAUGUUAAUGCUGACAAGUACAUUUAAGAGGGAAACUAAGCCGCUAAAUUUCCAGCUUUGCUAAGCUUAAAGGCAUUUUUUUUAUAAGUUUCCUAAAACAAGGCAUUAUAUGUACCUUAUGCCUUCGACCGAGUCAUUAUUUUAAUUUCAAUUUUGAAAAUAUUUUCCCCAAUACAAAGUUGGAACCACAACAAGGUCUUGUUUAGUUUGUGAAAAAAAGGUUUUGAGUACUAUAGUAUAUUUGUAACUAUAGCAAUUAGUAUUCAAUUAUUGAUUAAUUAGAUUUAAAAGAUUUAUCUUACAAAAUACAUAUAAAUUAUACAAUAAAUUAUUUUUUAUCUAUAUUUAAUGCUUGCUGUCCCAAGGCCUUAGUUUUCAGUACCAUAAUUUUAUUCUUUAUCUGAGCUGUACCUGAGCCCAGGGACAGGGACUAAAACAACAAACGGAUCCGCUUUAUCUGAGCCAAGUGACCGAAGUUCAGUUCUAUAUCAAAGCCCUUGGACCAAGGUUUAAUUUUUUGACAUCGACAGGGGCCGCACGAGCGCCAAACCGAUCGGAGCCCAAGGAACUCAAAAAUAAAAUAUAUCUAAGCCCAGAGACCAAAGUUUAAUUAUAUAUCUCAGGGCCCAGGGACCAAAAUUUAAUUCUUUAAAAUUGGCAGGGGCCGCGCGAACGCGUACCCCCUCUACCACAAAUUAUGACGUCCACUCUCCCUCUUGGGGAGAUGGUAAGCCAGCGCACCCGCCAAGUGCAAUGCGGGCCACUGACCUAGGCCACGGGCCUUCAUGACCACCUGUCGACCCCGUCCAGGUAAGUAUGGAGCAAGGGUGCAGGGGGCGCUUGUCUUAUAGCAGGAGCUCGCAGCGCAUCCAGCUUCCGCUGCCGAGGUGGUGCUAAACGAAGCGUUCUGCCGUGCUAUGCCGCUGAGUUUUUAACUUCUGCUGGGCUGCCGAGACAUAGAGACGUAUAUGGGCCUUUAGGAUUUGGCCCACUUGGAACAGUAAGAUUGCAGGCUGCAAUGAAUCUGCUAGGCUCUCGUGGUUGUUCCUGGGCUCGGUUAGGCAUGGGAGUAGUUGUUUCUAAAAAAAAGGGCAUGAGAAUAGUUUUCCAGGCUUAUUAUAAUUUAUAAGGUUUGUUUUUUUCUAAUCUGCAGCUACAUGCUCUCGUGGUAUAUGAGUUUUUUUUUGAAAAAAGGCAAGAAAAUUUACACAUGCUGCUACUCUACUUUGAGACUGGGCAAGAGAAUGCCUUAAACCACAACCUGAACCUGAAGCAAACAAGUCCAAGAUUAUUUCUUAAUAAUUGGUUUAUGAUUAUGCGUUGCAACAUUAGAAAAAAAGUUUAAAAAAAAUUGACCACAAUAAGGAGGGGCACAAAAACACAUGUUUUUGGGAUAAUUCCUGAUUUGUUAUGAACAUGUUGCUGUACAUGCAUGCUAUUGCUGCUACAUAUGUUGAAUGAGGUACGGAAACCAAGGCAUGAUACUCCUCCGUCCUGGCUAGAAUGAUAAACAUACUAUAAUCAUGAAAAGGUCAAAUAAUAUAUAUUUUAACCAUCAAUUUUCUCUUGGUGUUUUUAGAAGCUGAACAAAACCAACCACAGCCUAAUAGAACGACCGUUGAAGAUUGCUCUCAGUACAAACACGUAGCUUUCCAUCCAUUUUUAACCCACUGUUCUCUAUUCAAGAGCAGGCACAGCAAGCGGACACGUUCAUGAGUUCCCUUCCCCUAGUCUUGCAUUGGACUCUUUUCUCUCGGUGCGUACUUUGGUAGUAGUGUACAGUACAACCUUCGCAGUCGUCGUCGCCACUCCCAUGUACCCGCGCUAAUAAAACGCUCUUGAAUAGAGACAUUGUCGCAGCUCGGUUCAACCACCACCAUAGAACGGGAAGCAUCAUUAUACUAGUUAUAAACACCCCUCCUAAUCAUUUGCUACCCCGGGAGUGGGAGGGUGAAACCCCCCUGUCAGCUCCGACCAGCACCAGCCACCGGAUCCUCGAAUCCAGGCAAGUACGUACGAUGCCACCUGUGCAGCAGCGCGCCUCCGGUGGAGAGAGCUUCCAAAGUUCUAACGGAACGCAAGAACAGCAGCUACUGCCGACUGGCCGCGGCGGCGCGGCAGUUCAUCAGCAGCAUAUAGUCCAGCUCAACCGGCAGGCAACUCAGCUCCCCCACCGCCACCAGUAGAGUUCCUUCCUUCCCGAUCGAGCUGCCCCAUGUGGCCGUUAAUCAUGACGCCGACUGUUGUCUGGUUGCCACUACCUAACUGGAAACGGCUCCGGUCGCUUCUCUCUAUUAUCUCGUCGUCAAAUUCCAGUUGCUCUGGUCCGUCCUUGUUGUGGAAUUUGAUAUGCGAUUUCCGUGCUUGUGACAACGCCGAUUCACCUCAUAACAGAGGUGCCGUAGCUGCUACCCAAUGAUUAGGGACCUAAUUGCGCCUCGAUCGCCUUGCAAUGUUGCAGGUGAGGUAACCUCCCCCAGGUUGCACAUGCAUCAGAAUCAUGGGGGUGCUUACCAACCAGCCGGCCUGCCUGUGCUUGCAGUACAUGCGUGCUUUCAGGUGAAUGUUUGAGCUGGAUCGUUCGUUGUGCUCAAAUCUAUAAGUCAUUCAACAGAAUUUUUCUCUCAUAAUAAAUUAGCAAAACAGUACUUUCAAUCACGGAUUAUCAGCCAAGCGAACAGGCCUAAUUCCAACUAAAACCCAAAAAAACUUUAAGAUUUUCCGUCACAUCGAAGCUUGCGGCACAUGCAUAGAACAUGAAAUAUAUAUAAAAAACAACUAAUUGCAUAAUUUUUCUUUAAUUUGCGAGACAAAUCUUUUGAGUCUGCUUAAUCCAUGGUUGGACAAUAGUUGUCAAAUAUAAACGAAAGUGCGACAAAAAAAAAAUCUUCACCUAUGGAAUUAAACAAGGCCUCAUUUCACUUUCGGACAGUGCAUGUUCAGGUCAUCAGGUAUGUAUGGGAGACGGCUUGUUUAGUUUCUAAACCAUUUUGCAAAAUGGUCAAAAUUACCUGUCAUAUCGAAUAUUGCGGUACAUGCUUAGAACAUUAAAUAUAAAUAAAAAAUAACUAAUUAUACAGUUUGCGUAUAAUUUACGAGACGAAUCUUUUGGGCCUAAUUAGUCAAUGAUUGGACAAUAAUUGUCAAAUACAAACAAAAGUAAUACAAUAGCUAUUUUGCAAAAUUUUUCGCAACUAAGGGGUGUUUAGUUCCCCUCUUAUUCUAAAAAAUUUUAGGUUUUAAUUCAUCAUUUUUUAAAAUGGAAUUAAACACCAUGCAAAAUUUUUUGACAAAAAGGUGGUUAUUCUUCAUUUUACAUUUUAGCCUUAAGAGGCCAAGAAAACUCAAAAGAGUCUCAUGUGGCUCUCGUGAGAGAGCAAUAAAUUCUGUAUUUUAGAUAGAACUAAACAUGAUCUUGAAAAUUUUGACAUUUUGCAUUCUAUCAUUCUAAAGUAGUUGGCAUUUUGUAUUUUUUUAACUAAUAAACACCCCCUAAACAGGACCUUAAACUGGCUCUCGACGGCAUCAGCGUUGCGUGUAACGCAGGGCCUGGGGGCCGAUCAGUACUGCAUCGCUGCAUGCAUGGUGGAGAAGCUGUACUUCGCGGUUCUGCUCGCGGAAGAGGGGAACCGAGAGAUCGCUGCACACAAACGAACAAGUUGUAGUACUGAUGUUUAUGUUUUUAUGACCGGAGCGUCGUACAGUAGUGCGGUUCACCUGGGAUCCUUUCCAAGCACACUUUUCGGUUGUUUGCUCCAUGCAAACACAGUACAGGACUACAGGGCGAUGUACAAGUAUUGUUGAGUACUGACCAGUGAUAGUGAAUUUCCACCGGUGCUAGUAUAAUACUAGCCACCAGCCAAGGAGUUAGUGUGGUACCUAUGCUAAUUAAACUCCAGACGACAUGUGUUUGUUUCGCAAACUGAUCAAACGUGGCCUUCUUGCGCAGUCUGUCUGCGUUUCUCUGCCUGUGAUCCGGCCGUUGUACCUGCUACAGCAAAGAUUCGCGCGAAGCCGCGGAGCAAGCAAGAACAACUCAACUCACGGAGGCUGAAUUCAUUAUCCGCUAAUAGUUAGCUGGCUAAGGGCACGUUUGGAAGCCUUGUAAAUUUUUUUCGCCUGGAAAUGACUUCCGAUUGUAUUUUCAUGUGCACAAGAAACCUCUUGCAAAUCUUUUCGGUUGGAAAUUUGUGUUUGGUUUACAUGAAUUAGUUCUCAACCCUGAAAAUAGGAAUGCAGAAGCACUUACUACUUUGUACUAGAACGUAAAAGGGGUUGUGAAAUCAAAACCAAACUUCAAAGCAGAAGCAAAAUGCAUCCAAACGGAUCCUAACCUAAGAGCAUUUCUAAGAACAACCUUUCUAAAAUCUUGUAUCUAAAUUAUCGUUUCGAGAGCCAUUUAAAUAGAAAUUAUUUUCUAUAUUUUUAUUUUACAAUAGCUUUUCUAUAUAUUAUGUGUAGUCUAGAGAGUUAUUCUCGUUCUCUAUUUUUGGCUAGCGAGAAAUCCAGAAUAGAGGAUAUGUAUAUUUGAAUAUCUAAUUGAAGAGGUUACUGAAAGAUAUUUUUUCACCAAAAUUCUUAUAAAUUAGGAAAGAUAUAAAGAGUCCCUUAAAGAUGUUCAGAUCGUAUCUAAUAUUAGCUAGCUAACUAGGGUGUUUGGAUGCAUAGGUAAUUAAAAAUAAAAAUGAUACUCAGAUAACUAUUAGUUGCUAUUUCUCAUUUGGUCCAACUAGUAUGAUAGUUACUAUCUAAAAGUCUAACUAACAAUUAGCUAAUUUGUUAACUAUACUUAUUCAAAUCUAUACAUAUUUAGAUCCAAAUGAGAUAACUAUUAGUAGAUAGUUAUUAUGUAGUAUUGGCAAAAGGGGCCUAAUAAGCCAUGCAAGCUCGAGCCAGCCUAAGCCAUGCGGGCGUAGGCUCCGGCCCGGCUCUAUAAAUCGCGGCCCCGUGUCGUGGCCGCCAAUUCAGCAGCAGCGCACUCUCCCGUCCAGCAUCCCGACCUCAUCAGCGGCGAGCUUCACCUCUGGUUCGUUCUGUUCUCUGAACUCCGAAGAGAUAUGGCGUCCAGGGCGGCUCUCCUGGCGCUUCUGCUCUCGGCGUUCGCGGCGGCGUCGGCGGUGGCGCAGCUGGACGAGAAGUUCUACAGCCAGUCGUGCCCCAGCGUGGAGGAUGUCGUCCGGAAGGAGAUGGUGCGCGCGCUCUCCGUCGCGCCCAGCCUCGCCGGCCCCCUCCUCAGGAUGCACUUCCACGACUGCUUCGUCAGGGUACGUGCAUUAUUGCAUUUUGUGGUUUCGUCAGGGAUCGACUUGAGCUGGCUCGAUCGGCUUUGCUAACCCCGUUGCUGCAUCCUGCAUUGCUCGCCGCCGAUCGGUGCAGGGGUGCGACGGCUCCGUCCUCCUUGACUCCACGGCGAACAACACCGCGGAGAAGGACGCGAAGCCGAACCUGACGCUGCGCGGCUUCAGCUUCAUCGAGACGGUCAAGGCCGCCGUGGAGAAGGCGUGCCCUGACACCGUCUCCUGCGCCGACUUGCUGGCCCUCAUGGCCAGGGACGCCGUGUGGCUGGUGAGCAACCGAUCGAUCGAGCACUGCAUGCACGCACGCACGCACACCAUUGUUCCACAAUUCAUUACAGCGCAACUGUUCUUACUGGCUGGUUGUUUUGCACGCACGCACGCACGCAGAGCAAGGGCCCGUUCUGGGCGGUCCCUCUGGGGCGGCGAGACGGCAGGGUGUCCAUCGCCAACGAGACCAAGCAGCUGCCGCCGCCGACGGGCAACUUCACGAAGCUGACCCAGCUGUUCGGCGCCAAGAACCUGGACACCAAGGACCUGGUGGUGCUGUCCGCCGGCCACACCAUCGGCACGUCGCACUGCUUCUCCUUCUCGGACCGGCUCUACAACUUCACGGGGCUGGACAACGCCCGCGACAUCGACCCGACGCUGGACCUGGCGUACAUGGCGCGGCUCCGCGGCAAGUGCACGAGCCUGGACGACAACACCACGCUGGUGGAGAUGGACCCAGGGAGCUUCAAGACCUUCGACCUGAGCUACUUCGCCAACGUGGCCAAGCGCAGGGGCCUCUUCCACUCCGACGGCGCGCUGCUCACCGACCCCACCACCCGCGCCUACGUGCUCCGCCACGCCACGGGGAACUACAAGGAGGAGUUCUUCGCCGACUUCGCCGCGUCCAUGCUCAAGAUGGGCGCCGUCGACGUGCUCACCGGCAGCCAGGGAGAGAUCAGGAAGAAGUGCAGCGUCGUCAACUAAACCUGGCGACCGGCCGGCCGGCCGGCCGGAGCACAGACGACUGUGUGUAGUUCAGGCACUUUUGGUCUGAGAGAUGUAUGAAUGUUACCCUCAGUUUCUCUAAUCUUUCUCACUUUUUUCUUUACUGCAAUUGAUUGAUUAUUUUGUUACAGCUAUGUAUGUAUUUAUGUAUGUAAAUCUGCCCCUCAUCUUCAGGUUCCAUCAGGAUCUCAUGAUACUUCAUACAAUAAACCUUUUUUGAUUUGUCCAUUACUGGCUCUGGCUAUGUCAGCCGAGAUGCCAUUGCCGUGCACAUACUAAAAUGAGAGUCUGUCUGUCCAUCCAUCAUCAGCGAUCUAGUUGUGACGCACAUGCAGGGCAUACAAAGCGACACGCAUGCUCGACCAGAGUACAUGUUGACGGCGGCCGUGGCCGGAGGAACUAACACUGGUCAAUAAUGUACUCGAUCAUCGCCCAUUCAUGUGUGGUUUCAGCGCAUCUGAUCUGCGUUAUACUAGUGGCAGCGUUGCCCCACGCCCAUGCUUGCUGGCGCCAUUUGUUUACUUGUACGGGCAGCUCUCUUCCUGAAUGUCUGUAACGGGAGGGGACAGUUUCUUGAGCAGCAACUCACAUGGCAUGCAGCAUGAACGGAUGCGCCGCAGGGCGUAGACUGUUGCCGAUGGCAUCGGAGCGCCGGAGCGGCCGGGGGCGUCGCAAACUAUCUUGUUGUGGGGUUUUCAGAUAGUUUGUGAGAUCUAAAACAGAUUUGAUGCUGCCGCGAGGGGUCGGGGAAAAGGCUGGUUGGGCUCUUAGAUUUCAGACCCGUGCGGCUCUCUCCCGGGAAAAACUUGGACCAGGCCAUGGUCCAUUCUGUUGAUUCGAGACUGUUGGAGCAUCUUCAGCAGGUCUCAAACAAACUCCUAAACUAAAAUUUGAGAGCACUUAAGCCCUCAUAUUUGGCUGGCCCUCAAAUCACUCCCUGGACCCUCAUUUCAGGGACUCUUCACUAAGGAUGCAAGUUGGGGCGGGUUGCUGCGCCAACCCGUUGGGCUGCCCAUGCCGCUAACCGACCGGGCUGCUCAGGCUAGUCCACUUGGAUAGAGUGAGCUCAAUUGCCCAACCCAUAAAUCCUAGCGGCAACCCGCAUCAGGUGGGGAAGUGAGCGUCGUCACGGUGAAUGCCUGAACACGAGCAACAGCCUCUUGGCUCCUCCGGCGUUGGCGCCACCACCUUCGCUACUAGUGCUUCUACUGCUGCCUCCGCCGAUGUGUGGGCUUCACUGGCGUCAAAGUUGACAUCAUGCAAAUGCUGGAGUACGUCUGCGAGGAGCAUGACGGGUGCGUCGAGGUCGUCAUGUUAUACCUGAUGGAACUGUGCCGGGUGCUGCAUGUGUGUCUGCAUGUGUGAAGUAAUAUGUGGGUUGGUCGUUGGCGGCGCUUGUGUCUGCAUGUGUGUGUACGGAUGUGCUAAUAUGUGGGUUGGCAGAACCCACAUCUUGCCGCAUAUAUCAUGCGGUCAUUCUGGGCUCGCCGCAUCGAGCUCGUGAAGCCUUUGUGGCUUGGCGGACAUGGGGUGGGUUAGCCGUUGUUGCCCCACUUGCAUCCUGACUCUUCACCCAACCCUAUUCUAUUGUUGGAGAUAUUUCCUGCCCGUGCGACUUCUCCCUGGCAUCUGCUCCUCACUGACAAGGCCACCCCUACUGUUGCUUCCCUCCUCCAGCGAAGCAGCUUCCUCCAGCGAGCCGUCCCCGAUGCUGAUGGACCUCCACACACUUGUCACCUACACUGCUGCUUGUUGGCAGACCUCCGUGCUCGCCGCCCGCGGGCACCCGUGUAGCUGGUUGCUCGUGCAGAGGAACUCGAUGAAGAGGACGGCGUAGCUACGGGAAUGAACUAGGAAGGUGGAGGGACCUUGAGAUCCACCAUGAGAGGGGCACAGUGUGGAAGGUGAAGGUGGAUCUAUGAGCAUCCGUCACCGGCUCCAGAUCCACGACUUCCCCUAGACGCACACACACGGAUGGAGAAGAGAGAGGAUGAUGAGUGGGUCCCAUAUGUCGGUUGUAUUAAAAGUGACGAGGGCUUCUGCUGCAGCAACAAAUAUAAAAAAGACCUUAAAAAUGAGGAAAGCCCCCCCAAUUCAAAAGUAGGGGCCCUAAUCUGAGGGCCAUUGCUGAAAAUGCACUAGAGUCUGUUUGGCAGACCUCUUCUCCGACCCUGGCUUUGGCUUUGCCAAAUGUUGUUAUGAAGAAAUCUUUUUAAGUAAAAAGCAGAGAAGCUAGAGCCGUUUUGGCGAAGCCACAAAUUGUGGCUUCUCCAAAAUGGCUCUGGCUCCUCUAAAGGAGUCCCUCGUGAGGAGUCGUGUCAAACACCCCCUAGCACCGGAUGAUCCUGAAACAUCAAGGCUAUGCACCUAAAAAAGAGAAAAAUAAAUAUCAAGGCGCUAGACUUUUCUAGGAUUUCAAUAUAAUUUAGGUCUCUAUUUAAAGAGUCCCUCACAAAGAGAUUUACUGAUAUCAAUAACUACGCACAGGUAUGAAGGAGGAAUAUAAAUAUGUCCUUACUGUAGUCUAUCGAUUCAUCUAUAUAUAUAUAUAACUUAAUUGUUAGUAGUCAAUUUUCAAAGAAGAAGAGAGAAAGUCACACAAGAGAAUAAUGCUAGCAGUAUGUGUGCAUGGUCAUGUAUAGGUAAUUGUAUCCACUAUUGAAACUAUUUAUGAGUGGACACUUACAUGUGGCAACGGGAGAAGUGGAUGAUGAUAUGGCUCAAGGAAGUGCCAGAGAACCAUUUAUGAGUGGACACUUACAUGUGGCAACAUAAGAAGUGAAUGAUGAUGUGGCUCAAGUAAGUGCCAGAGAAUUAGACUAGUGGGGUUUAUCUUUAUAGGAAAUAUAGAUAUCGUACUUAGGAUGAAACUAGCAUAAAUUUAAGUGAAACUUAUAACUACCCAAAAUAAGACGUAUUUUCUUUAGAAACAAAUAAUUUGAGCAGGGGCACGCACCCCCUCCCCCUCCCCCGCUCAUUGUGUACUAGGUCCGUCCCUAUUUGUUUUUGCAUUGUGUUUGUUAAAACAACCAUGGCCCGACUCAUCCUUAGGAAUAACAUGAGGCUUCUUCCUUUAAUUUUGGGCAAAGACACAUAAAACUAUCUUUUCUUAUUCUAGAGGAUGUAGUUGCUAGUACAAUAAAGAGAAAACCCUAUCAAUAUAUCCAUGCGGUGAUUCGAUGCUCUAGAAGUAAUAUAUAUUCUCAAGACAGAAAAUGACGAAUGAAUCAAAGAAUAAAAAAAAAGACAAUAUAUACCUGGAAAACGGGGAAAAAAUUCAAAGAAAAGGCAAUCUAUAUCUGAAGAUUUCCGUCUACACGAACUAGGUGGCACACGCUCAUCAUAGACGAUGUCGACUAGAGCCAUGGUGGCAUCAGCCUGCUCUACCACGAAUCUGGUUUCCUCACUGCCCACUAAGGCCAUGCUCAUGCGUCCACGUCGGGGGCGGGAUCAUGAUGUGCGGCUGCAGCCAUGGACGGGGCCUAAAGUAGCGGUAGCAACAUGGCCGCAGCAGCGGGAUCAGGAUCUACGACUGAGGGCAUGGGCGGGGCCUGCAGUACUAGCGACAACAUGGCCGGCUCCGAGGCGGCGGCCAUGGCCACGACCAGCGUGGGAUCGAAGGGGGCGUCGUG